AGAGUGGUGCUUGUCAUCGAUGAAGAAGGUGUUGACAAGUUCUCAAAGGAGUGUCUACUCAGGGAGGAUAUGUUGUUGCUCAUCUAACAGGAGUCUAGAAACUAGCUCUAACUUGUUAGGCUUAGAAGUGAUUGUGCAUGAUGUUAGAAGAACUUUGACUGAAAAAUCCCAUCAAUUUUUAUCAGGCCUCUUAUUCGAAUCAUAGGAAACCGGUUUCUAUGGCAGGUCAAAGCGCUAUCCUGGCUACAGUAAUCAUCCUUAUACAUUGGGGUGGGGUUGCACUUAAGCCAUUCCUCCCUCAACUUCAAACAACAUUUGUCAAGUGUUUGCAAGACUACAAGGACCAUCCUUUCUAGUGAUGCGUUUGCCCUGUGAAAGCUUGGUGCUACUUCCAUGCAGUUUCUUUGAUAGUCGUUACCCAUGAUUGCGGUUGCAUAAGUAUUUAUCAAAGUUUGAUUUAUGUCAUGUCAUUGUGAUUAAUCUUCAACGAGUUGUGAUGUUAACAUGGAAUUGACUUACAGAGUCUUAUACUGUAAGUUAUCAUCUUCACAACUGUAUUAGCUUA